rnacentral:lncRNA from 10 species
CACUCUCUCACACACACACAGAGAUUGGAGAGAGACAGGAGAGAGACAUGUUUUCAUCUAUCCUUUGUGGACUUCUGUUGUUUUUACUGCUGUGAAAUUUGACUUGCGAUAUCUGCUUGUAAAACAUCAUCAAAUCCAAAUUCAUUAUAUUCCACUUUUUCUAUUACAUGGUUUCUGCUUCACUGAUUCAUAUCUGUUUUACCUAUUCUGUAAGGGAGGAGAAGCUGCAAAGCAAUGAAGAGAAAAGCUGAAGUCAGUGAUUAGGAGUGUCUGUGUAAGUAAAAGCAACAGGCAAUUACUGAGUGUGGUGUGAGAGGCACGGAAAGAUUGGGAAUUCAGCAAGAAGAGGAAUUGAAGUCAAACCUCACCUACUUCCCAGAGUCUUCUGGAUUUUCUGUUAGAAGCUUCAGUAUCUGAGAAAUCCAGAACAGGAUAAAUCAAAUCACCGGUUCAGUGUGCUAAAUUAGCAUAUUCAGCUCUUGAAGAAUUUAUGGAAAACGGCUUUCAAAAUGCAAGCAUGUCUUUGUUCUCUUAUAUUUCUUCAAACCAGUCUCUCAUUCAUUUCCAAAUAUCUAACAUUUCAGAUUCAUUUUUGCUUUCAUUUUUUGCUCUCUCCUUUUCUAGACAAUGCCAAGCAGACUGGGUAAUAUAGGAGAAAUCUCAAGAAGUACCAUGAAGUAAUGCUCAUCUCAAGACUUCUGCUGUUUGCCAAUUUUAUUUCUUUUCUUCUUAUUGAGAUAGUAAUUCCCACUAUGAGAUUCAUUAGAAAUCAGGCAUUAAGGUUGGAGUCUUUCCUUAAAAGAUAUUAAUAUACACAAUAAGAAAGGAGGUAUUGAGGCUGGUGUGUUUCUUCUGUUUUUCAACUUCUUUUUUUUUUUUUUGAGACAGGGUCUCACUCUGUCAUCCAGGUUGGAGUGCAGUGGCACAAUCUUGGCUCACUGCAGCAUCCUCCUCUCAGGCUCAAGCAAUCCUCCCAUCUCAGCCUCCCAAGUAGCUGGGACCAUAGGCCUGCGCCACCACACCUGGCUACAUUUUUUGUAUUUUUGAUAGAGACGGGGUUUCACCAUGUUGAGCAGGCUGGUCUCAAACUCCUGAGCUCAAGCGAUCCACCUGCCUCGGCCUCCCAAAGUGCUGGGUGUCUUUCAACUUUUCUAUUACUUUUUGUUUGUAUAUUACUCUUGGUGAAACAAAAAAAAUUGUAAAUUGUAAUAUAUGUUAUUUGUCCUCAGGAGUUUAUCAUGAAACAAUCUAGGAACAAACUAAAGCUAAUAGUAAGUAGAGAAAUUAAAUAAAACCACCUAAAAUAAAUGUGAUACAGAUACUAGCCAGGACAAGGGGGUUCCGAUGGGCAGAAGCGUAUAAGUCCAAUUUAUGUGUAGAAGUCGCUUGAGUUGGGCCUUGGGUUAUAGUAUAAAUCAAGAGUGGGUAUCUUCAGAUGUAAUUGAAUGGAUGUAACAGAGGUAAAAUUUCAAGUACCGUAAUGACUAAUAUGGCAGUGACAAAUUUUGGGGAGGCUAGGGUACCACCUUAAGUGUGCCAAGUCAUGAAGGAAAUGCUUAAGUUUGCUUAGCAUCUUUCCGAGACUCACACAAGGAGGAUUUGGAAAGAUGUCUAAUACAACCAAAAGAGGAGAAUCAAAAGAUCAACAAUGAUUGCUUUAAAAUGUUGGCUUCUGCCAGUGUUGCCCCAAGUAUAUUUAUCCCUCUUCCUUUCUACUCCUCAAUUUUCAGACACUUUGAUGAAACAGAAUAAAACUGUACUUUUUUUUUUAGAUAUUCCUAUGCAUUCUACUGCUUUAAUCCCACCUAAGUAGAGAUGUCCACAACAGAGAGAAUGGAGCUGUCACAUCGUUUCAACUGCCCAGGUAGUUCCUACUGGAUGAAUGGGAUUGUCACCUUCACACCUGCUAGAGGCUUGGAGCAUGCAAGAGUUUUUUUAAAUGGCUUCACCUUUCUUAUGAAAAUGCAACCACUAGUACUCUUCCAAUAAAAGCUUUUCUCAAGUGAAAGGACUCAGGCAACAAAUAAACAGCUAAGAUUUUACUAGAGUAUGAAAGGGAGAGCACUGGAGUGCAGUGCGGGGAUGGAGAUGCAGCUGUGGUGGCUGGAAGUACAGGAGGGCAGCUGGAGGCACCUGGCCUCUGAAGCCUGUCUUCUUCAUCUGGGUGAGAUCUGCUGGAGUCAGGAAGGACUUCCUGCUGCAAGGAUAAAGGUAAGCAGAAGAUCUCCACCAGUGCCCACUGCCAUCACAAACACCUACAAUCCUUAUAGCAGGUGAAUCCAGCAGUCCUCACAAGUCCUGAGACAGGUUUGGAGUCUUGCUGGGAAUUCACACAGCUGCAUUGUCCUAGAUUAGGAGAACAAGGUGUGGACCCCCAACCCUCUAUUCAUCCCCUGUGAGCCAUGGUGCUAUAGCAUGGCACCAUACUGAGACCAGAGCUACUUCUGCAGUGUGCCCUGCUCUGAGGGCCAGUAGCCACUUCACCUCUCCAGCACUUGGGCUCCAUCUUCAUUCCACCAAGCCCAUAUGGGAAGCUGAACACCUCAAUCCCAGAUUCGUAAAGCAUGGGCCAAGGAUGGGCUGUGGCUCUGGUCCUGUUCUGUUCAGGGUGAACCUGCCCUUGAGCUGGCCAAACUGCUGCAUACCCUCCCCAAAGCAGGAGAGGCCCCCAAGCCUGUGAGCAGCUGAUAUGCUCCAGGGCCAGUGAAGUGGCUAUGUGCUUGCACCCAGGAACUGAGAAACAGUCCCACAGCACACCUGCACCCUCCAGAGAGAGCCCUGGCCUGCCCCAGUGGCCCUGUAUCCCCAUUCAGGGCCUGAGAAACAAUUCCUCAGGCCACUCUUGGCAGGUAUGAUACUAAGCUGACCAAAUAGCCAAAAACACCUAUCCCAGACCUGAGUAUCAGCCCUGUGGGCCAAUCCAGGUGGACAUGCCCCAGGCUGGCCAAGCAGCCAUGUACCCACAUUCCGGGCCUGAGAAACAGUUUUUUGGGCUGCUGUUGGUGAGGACACCCCUGAGCCAACCAAGCAUCCUUGCAAUUGUGUUUCAGACCUAAGAAGCAUCAUGACCUGAGAAACAGUUUCACAGGCCACUCUUGGCAGGUAUGAUCCCAGGCUGGCCAUACAGCCAAAAGCCCACAUCCUACAUCUGAGUAACAGCCCAGGCUGACAUGACCCCAGGGCAGACAUGACCCCAGGCUGGCUGCCUAUUGAGUAAUUUCUUACGUUUUGCCUCCUCACAAAUGAAAUGCUAUCAUUUGUGAAAAUAUAAAUAGAAUUGGAGGAUAUUAUGUUAAGUGAAAUAAACCAUGAACAGAAAGUUAAACACUACAUGUUCUCAUUCAUAUUUGGAAGGUAAGAAAACGUUGAACUCAUAGAAGUAAAAUAGAACAGAGGAUACCUGAUGCUGGGAAAACUUGGGGGAAGGGAAGGAUAGGAAGGGAUUUGUUAAAGAAUAUAAAAGUUAAACUGGAUGAAAGGAAGUUCUUGUGUUCUCUACCACUGUAGGAUGACUAUAGUUAACAAUAAUAUAUCAUGUAGUUUAAAUAGCUAGAAGGAGGAUAUUGAAUGUUCCUAAUACAAAGAAAUGAUAAAAAUUUGAGAUGAUGGAUAUGCUAAUUAUGCUGAUCUGAUCACUGUCUAUUUAUCAACACCUCAUUAUAUAUCCUAAGAAUAUGUACAAUAACUAUUUGUCAAUCUAAAAAAUUAGAUAAAAAUUGUUUUGUCUUUUCUGGGUACUUUACAUGUUCAUAUAUAUUUUUGAGUCAGCUUGUCAAUUUCUACAACAAAAGCUUGUUGGGAUUUUGAUUGAGAUUAUGCUGAAUUUAUAACUUGUGAAGAAUUGAUUUCUUUACAAUAUUGGACCUUCCAAUACAUGAACAUAGUAUAUGUCUCCAUUUGUUUAGGUGUUCUUUAAUUUUUUUAAACAAUGUUUUGAAAUUUCCAGGAUUUUUCACUGAUUUAGUUAAAUUGAUCCUUAAAUAUUUAGCUUUUGAUGCUGUUAUUUUUAUUGAAAAUUUCUAAUUGUUACAUUCUAAUACAUGAAAACAGUAUAUAUCGUGAA